rnacentral:lncRNA from 10 species
GGGAGUGUGGGUGAUUCUGAGGAGGAGAGGCCAGCAUGGGCACGUUUACCAGAACCUUGGGUAAUAGACAUCCCAGUGCAGGAGACGAGCUGGGAGACCCCAAAACCACGGGAUGAACCCAGAGCCUCAUUUUCACUUGCAAAUGUUUACCGUGGGUGGCGGGGGAUGCAGAAGGGUAGGUUACAGAAUGUCACUCACUGGUAAGUACUUGAAAAUCU